GACGAACGCUGGCGGCGUGCCUAAUGCAUGCAAGUUGAGCGCUGAAGGUUGGUACUUGUACCAACUGGAUGAGCAGCGAACGGGUGAGUAACGCGUGGGGAAUCUGCCUUUGGGCGGGGGACAACAUUUGGAAACGAAUGCUAAUACCGCAUAAAAACUUUAAACACAAGUUUUAAGUUUGAAAGAUGCAAUUGCAUCACUCAAAGAUGAUCCCGCGUUGUAUUAGCUAGUUGGUGAGGUAAAGGCUCACCAAGGCGAUGAUACAUAGCCGACCUGAGAGGGUGAUCGGCCACAUUGGGACUGAGACACGGCCCAAACUCCUACGGGAGGCAGCAGUAGGGAAUCUUCGGCAAUGGACGAAAGUCUGACCGAGCAACGCCGCGUGAGUGAAGAAGGUUUUCGGAUCGUAAAACUCUGUUGGUAGAGAAGAACGUUGGUGAGAGUGGAAAGCUCAUCAAGUGACGGUAACUACCCAGAAAGGGACGGCUAACUACGUG
rnacentral:rRNA from 1 species